rnacentral:rRNA from 1 species
CAGCCGCCGCGGGAAUACGUAGGUCCCGAGCGUUGUCCGGAUUUAUUGGGCGUAAAGCGAGCGCAGGCGGUUAGAUAAGUCUGAAGUUAAAGGCUGUGGCUUAACCAUAGUACGCUUUGGAAACUGUUUAACUUGAGUGCAGAAGGGGAGAGUGGAAUUCCAUGUGUAGCGGUGAUAUGCGUAGAUAUAUGGAGGAACACCGGUGGCGAAAGCGGCUCUCUGGUCUGUAACUGACGCUGAGGCUCGAAAGCGUGGGGAGCGAACAGGAUUAGAUACCCCAGUAGUCCCUGUCUCUUAUACA